rnacentral:rRNA from 1 species
UUGUUAAAACUACCUUGUUGCUUUGGCGGGACCGCUCGGUCUCGAGCCGCUGGGGAUUCGUCCCAGGCGAGCGCCCGCCAGAGUUAAACCAAACUCUUGUUAUUUAACCGGUCGUCUGAGUUAAAAUUUUGAAUAAAUCAAAACUUUCAACAACGGAUCUCUUGGUUCUCGCAUCGAUGAAGAACGCAGCGAAAUGCGAUAAGUAAUGUGAAUUGCAGAAUUCAGUGAAUCAUCGAAUCUUUGAACGCACAUUGCGCCCCUUGGUAUUCCGAGGGGCAUGCCUGUUCGAGCGUCAUUACACCACUCAAGCUAUGCUUGGUAUUGGGUGCCGUCCUUAGUUGGGCGCGCCUUAAAGACCUCGGCGAGGCCUCACCGGCUUUAGGCGUAGUAGAAUUUAUUCGAACGUCUGUCAAAGGAGAGGACUUCUGCCGACUGAAACCUUUAUUUUUCUAGGUUGACCUCGGAUCAGGUAGGGAUACCCGCUGAACUUAAGCAUAUCAAUAAGCGGAGGAAAAGAAACCAACAGGGAUUGCCCUAGUAACGGCGAGUGAAGCGGCAACAGCUCAAAUUUGAAAGCUGGCCUUCGGGUCCGCAUUGUAAUUUGUAGAGGAUGCUUUGGGUGAAACGCCAGUCUAAGUUCCUUGGAACAGGACGUCAUAGAGGGUGAGAAUCCCGUAUGUGACUGGAAAUGUUAACCUAUGUAAAGCUCCUUCGACGAGUCGAGUUGUUUGGGA